rnacentral:rRNA from 1 species
GACGAACGCUGGCGGCGUGCUUAACACAUGCAAGUCGAACGGAAAGGCCCUGCUUUUGUGGGGUGCUCGAGUGGCGAACGGGUGAGUAACACGUGAGUAACCUGCCCUUGACUUUGGGAUAACUUCAGGAAACUGGGGCUAAUACCGGAUAGGAGCUCCUGCUGCAUGGUGGGGGUUGGAAAGUUUCGGCGGUUGGGGUUGGACUCGCGGCUUAUCAGCUUGUUGGUGGGGUAGUGGCUUACCAAGGCUUUGACGGGUAGCCGGCCUGAGAGGGUGACCGGCCACAUUGGGCCUGAGAUACGGCCCAGACUCCUACGGGAGGCAGCAGUGGGGAAUAUUGCACAAUGGGCGGAAGCCUGAUGCAGCAACGCCGCGUGCGGGAUGACGGCCUUCGGGUUGUAAACCGCUUUAGCCUGUGACGAAGCGUGAGUGACGGUAAUGGGUAAAGAAGCACCGGCUAACUACGUG